CGGCUCCCCCACCGGAAAUGAACCGCCAGCCAACUCUAAACUAGACCCCCGAGUAGGAGGCGUCUGCCCCCUCCACCGGCUGGUUUUAAACUCACUGUGUAGCUCAGGUUGGCCUUGAACUCAUGGUGAUCCUCCUGCCUCAAUCUCCCAAGUGCUGGGAUCACAGAAUACAUACUGCUUCAACCAGCGUGUAGUGUGAGCGGUGUCUGUAAAGCCUGGAGAAAGACGUGAGCUCAUGCAUGUGGAAGGAAUCUGAAACCCGGAGGGACAGCAUGAGAAGGCAAUCCCCCGAAAUCACAGGAUUCUUGAGGCAGCUCCUCCGCAGGAUUUGGAAUGGGAGGUUAGAGGCGGGCGCCUCUUUCCGCUGUGUGUGGAGGUGGUGAUGCGUCCUGCGCACGUCUCCUCGUUGUGUCUCUGUUAAGCUUGUUCCUGUUGGCCCAGGAAAGCUCCUUGCAGCCCACUAGCCAACAAUGACGGCUGACACCAGGGCGGCUCAGAUGCACUGCCCACGUUCUUCUCACCAAACAAGGCAAGGUGCCACUCAAAAAGGGGCCAUAUCUUUAUAACUUGCACAAAAGGACUCAAUGGGGCAAUGGUAGCCCUGCUGCCACUGACUGCAUCAGCACAGUGGGGACCCUACGCCUCACAUGCCUGUCUUGUGUGACACUCCCUCAUUCCGCUUCCUCUGGAGGUCUCUACAAUUCUCUGCUGGGUUUCAUGAUUUGUUCCUGCAUAAUAACCUCACCCCUAUAAUUUGCAAAGCUGCCUCUCUUGAAAUGGAGUUAGGACUUCUUUUUGUACUGAAGAAUAGUUGUAUUUCUUUGAUCCUUGUGCUUUCAAAUCACACCCUCUUAGGCUGGCUGGGGAUAAUGAGCAAGUGUUUUGAAGAGUCAGGUACCUAUAAAUGGCCUCUCCCUGUUUCACACAAAGACAAAGGUCCUGCCAGAGCUUUGAAACUAAGCCCUUAGAGUCCUUCAGGCUGCACUUGUGCCUGUUAUGUAAAAAGGGAAAGAAAGGGGCAAAGAGUGUGGUUUUCUUUUUCUAGUUACAAUUGCUUGCAUUUUCUGAAUUUUCUCAGAUGAGUACACAGAGGCUCAGGGAGGUUAUAUCAUUUUGCCAGAGAUUACACAGCUAGCAAACUGGCUGGAAGCUGCCCCCAGAACCUCAGAUUGCUACUGUACAGCUCUUCUGCCAUCGCUGAGCUGUCUCUGAAAAGGGCAGACUGGUUGCUAGGCCUGGAGUAGGAAAAGGCCUUUCCAUAAGUAGAGACCCAUGUUACAAUCCCUCAGCAGAAGAAACAACAGCCAGCAGCUGCAGCAACAGUAUAAGAGCUAGACAUCUCCAUAGUGAAGAGAGCUAAAGUACUACCUAAGAAUCGGCCUCUUUUGUCUGCUCACUUCCUCCCCCAGGUUGGCAACCCUACUGGAUCUCGUACUUUAUGACUCUGCCCCUUUUGGUAAUAACUGAUUGGGCUACCAGUGGUCCCUUGAUUCUAACUGGACAGCUCCUUGCCUCUGUUCCUGAUUGGAGAACAGGGCUCCUCCAACUUAGCCUGCCUAACUGGGUUCUCAUGCCUGCGUAAUUGAGGGAGAGGAAGAAAGCUUAGCAAUAAUAAUAAAAGAUUUUGAGAAGUAAAAGCCCUGUAGUCAAAAAUAUAUCUCCGUGGCUAGACGUGGUGGUGCAUGCCUGUAAUCCCAGAAUUUGGGAGGCUGAGGCAGGAGGAUUGCUGCAAGUUCAAGAUCAACCUGGGCUACAUAGUGAGUUCAGUACCAGCCUAAACUCCCUAGAGAGACCAUGUCUCAUAUAUAUAUACUAAUAUUUUGGAAACCAGAAAGUAUAGAAAUCCUAAGGAACUGCCACAAUGAUCCUAUAUGCCAGAGGCACUAAAGUAGGUGAUUCCAGGGAAGAUUCCUGGGGAUUAUAUCCCAAACACCUUGAAGUGCUUUCUGCUGAAGUCCUAGUCCUGUUCACUACUGACAUAAAAAUAGCUUCUCAUUUCUUUCUGCUCUGCAAAUCUCACACGAGCAUCUCUCAUUGCCAGAACACAGCUCGCAUCUUGUCAUGAGGAAAUGUAGUUCUGAGGUUUCCAGUCCUCAUAAUAUAGGUGAAAAUAUAGAAGGAAGUGAAAAUGUUUCCAGAAUACCAACAAUAUGGUGUAAUGUGCAUUUUGCAUAGUGAAACUUGUAUGUACUUAUCUAUUCAUGUUUAACUUUCAAAUAACAAUAUUAAUGACAGUUUAAUUCUUCUACCUAAUGUGACAUAACUAUCCUUCAUAUAAAUGAAGGUGCUGUUAUGGUCUGAACUGUGUUCCCUCAAAGUUCAGCUGCUGAAUCCCUAACUCCCCAUAUCUUGAAAUGCAGACAGAUAUAUCUUGUUUAACAACUGUUUGAAUGCAUGACAGAGGCACAGUAUUUGGAGUUGCAACUUGCUGCUCAGACUUAAGACCCAUCUUUGUUUGUUUGUUUUUUGUCUUUUUCCUUUUUAUUGGUACCAGGGAUCGAACUCACGACUGCCUGCUUGCAAGGCAGGCGCUUAUGCUGCUGAGCUAAAUCCCCAGCCCCUAGGACCCAUCUUUGUUUAUUAGAGUCCUGAACAUCUUCUUUCUAGAAACUCAAUGCCUUUUUGAACAGGUCACCUUGUUUGCAUGGCAUUAUAAUUUUUGCUGAUUGUACUAUACAGUGGUGUAGUCUUAUGUUCUGUUAUACAUUACAGUUCUGUAUGUAAAAUUAUGCAAAUAAAAGCAAAGGCAUCCAGUUGGA